AUGAAACAAAAGUUAAUUAAUAAGUUCCAAGUGGUAUUAGUUGAGCUUAAUUUAAUUAUAAUAACGAAAUUAUAUCUUAAUGCAAAAUGUUUGUGACAUCCCAAUAUAAUUUAGCAUAACUUAAAAAUAAGAUAUGUAUACUAAAAACUAAGAUAUCUAUAUAAUGUAUAGUAAUUUUAUAAGUGUGAGAGAAUACUAACAGA
rnacentral:misc_RNA from 1 species